rnacentral:rRNA from 1 species
UGAGCUCAAAUUUAAAAUCUGGCUGGUUUACUAGUCCGAAUUGUAGUUUAAAGAAGCGUUUUCGGUGGCAGCCUGGGUAUAAAUCCUUUGGAACAGGGUAUCAUAGAGGGUGAGAAUCCCGUCUUUGACUCAGUGCAUGCUACUAUGUGAUACGUUUUCAAAGAGUCGAGUUGUUUGGGAAUGCAGCUCAAAAUGGGUGGUAAAUGCCAUCUAAAGCUAAAUAUUGGCGAGAGACCGAUAGCGAA